rnacentral:rRNA from 1 species
AUUGAACGCUGGCGGCAGGCCUAACACAUGCAAGUCGAACGAGUGGCGGACGGGUGAGUAAUGUCUGGGAAACUGCCCGAUAGAGGGGGAUAACUACUGGAAACGGUGGCUAAUACCGCAUACUAUCGGAUGUGCCCAUAUGGGAUUAGCUAGUAGGUGGGGUAACGGCUCACCUAGGCGACGAUCUCUAGCUGGUCUGAGAGGAUGAUCAGCCAAACUGGAACUGAGACACGGCCCAGACUCCUACGGGAGGCAGCAGUGGGGAAUAUUGCACAAUGGGCGCAAGCCUGAUGCAGCCAUGCCGCGUGUAUGAAGAAGGCCUUAGGGUUGUAAAGUACUUUCAGCGGGGAGGCGUUACCCGCAGAAGAAGCACCGGCUAACUCCGUGCCAGCAGCCGCGGUAAUAC